rfam:Formosa sp. Hel3_A1_48, complete genome.
UAACCUCUAGCGAAAACCGUGUAUGUUG